UGUCUGAAUAUGGGGGGACCAUCCUCCAAGGCUAAAUACUCCUGACUGACCGAUAGUGAACCAGUACCGUGAGGGAAAGGCGAAAAGAACCCCGGCGAGGGGAGUGAAAAAGAACCUGAAACCGUGUACGUACAAGCAGUGGGAGCACGCUUCGGCGUGUGACUGCGUACCUUUUGUAUAAUGGGUCAGCGACUUAUAUUCUGUAGCAAGGUUAACCGAAUAGGGGAGCCGAAGGGAAACCGAGUCUUAACUGGGCGUUAAGUUGCAGGGUAUAGACCCGAAACCCGGUGAUCUAGCCAUGGGCAGGUUGAAGGUUGGGUAACACUAACUGGAGGACCGAACCGACUAAUGUUGAAAAAUUAGCGGAUGACUUGUGGCUGGGGGUGAAAGGCCAAUCAAACCGGGAGAUAGCUGGUUCUCCCCGAAAGCUAUUUAGGUAGCGCCUCGUGAAUUCAUCUCCGGGGGUAGAGCACUGUUUCGGCAAGGGGGUCAUCCCGACUUACCAACCCGAUGCAAACUGCGAAUACCGGAGAAUGUUAUCACGGGAGACACACGGCGGGUGCUAACGUCCGUCGUGAAGAGGGAAACAACCCAGACCGCCAGCUAAGGUCCCAAAGUCAUGGUUAAGUGGGAAACGAUGUGGGAAGGCCCAGACAGCCAGGAUGUUGGCUUAGAAGCAGCCAUCAUUUAAAGAAAGCGUAAUAGCUCACUGGUCGAGUCGGCCUGCGCGGAAGAUGUAACGGGGCUAAACCAUGCACCGAAGCUGCGGCAGCGACACUGUGUGUUGUUGGGUAGGGGAGCGUUCUGUAAGCCUGUGAAGGUGUACUGUGAGGUAUGCUGGAGGUAUCAGAAGUGCGAAUGCUGACAUAAGUAACGAUAAAGCGGGUGAAAAGCCCGCUCGCCGGAAGACCAAGGGUUCCUGUCCAACGUUAAUCGGGGCAGGGUGAGUCGACCCCUAAGGCGAGGCCGAAAGGCGUAGUCGAUGGGAAACAGGUUAAUAUUCCUGUACUUGGUGUUACUGCGAAGGGGGGACGGAGAAGGCUAUGUUGGCCGGGCGACGGUUGUCCCGGUUUAAGCGUGUAGGCUGGUUUUCCAGGCAAAUCCGGAAAAUCAAGGCUGAGGCGUGAUGACGAGGCACUACGGUGCUGAAGCAACAAAUGCCCUGCUUCCAGGAAAAGCCUCUAAGCAUCAGGUAACAUCAAAUCGUACCCCAAACCGACACAGGUGGUCAGGUAGAGAAUACCAAGGCGCUUGAGAGAACUCGGGUGAAGGAACUAGGCAAAAUGGUGCCGUAACUUCGGGAGAAGGCACGCUGAUAUGUAGGUGAAGUCCCUCGCGGAUGGAGCUGAAAUCAGUCGAAGAUACCAGCUGGCUGCAACUGUUUAUUAAAAACACAGCACUGUGCAAACACGAAAGUGGACGUAUACGGUGUGACGCCUGCCCGGUGCCGGAAGGUUAAUUGAUGGGGUCAGCGCAAGCGAAGCUCUUGAUCGAAGCCCCGGUAAACGGCGGCCGUAACUAUAACGGUCCUAAGGUAGCGAAAUUCCUUGUCGGGUAAGUUCCGACCUGCACGAAUGGCGUAAUGAUGGCCAGGCUGUCUCCACCCGAGACUCAGUGAAAUUGAACUCGCUGUGAAGAUGCAGUGUACCCGCGGCAAGACGGAAAGACCCCGUGAACCUUUACUAUAGCUUGACACUGAACAUUGAGCCUUGAUGUGUAGGAUAGGUGGGAGGCUUAGAAGUGUGGACGCCAGUCUGCAUGGAGCCGACCUUGAAAUACCACCCUUUAAUGUUUGAUGUUCUAACGUUGACCCGUAAUCCGGGUUGCGGACAGUGUCUGGUGGGUAGUUUGACUGGGGCGGUCUCCUCCUAAAGAGUAACGGAGGAGCACGAAGGUUGGCUAAUCCUGGUCGGACAUCAGGAGGUUAGUGCAAUGGCAUAAGCCAGCUUGACUGCGAGCGUGACGGCGCGAGCAGGUGCGAAAGCAGGUCAUAGUGAUCCGGUGGUUCUGAAUGGAAGGGCCAUCGCUCAACGGAUAAAAGGUACUCCGGGGAUAACAGGCUGAUACCGCCCAAGAGUUCAUAUCGACGGCGGUGUUUGGCACCUCGAUGUCGGCUCAUCACAUCCUGGGGCUGAAGUAGGUCCCAAGGGUAUGGCUGUUCGCCAUUUAAAGUGGUACGCGAGCUGGGUUUAGAACGUCGUGAGACAGUUCGGUCCCUAUCUGCCGUGGGCGCUGGAGAACUGAGGGGGGCUGCUCCUAGUACGAGAGGACCGGAGUGGACGCAUCACUGGUGUUCGGGUUGUCAUGCCAAUGGCACUGCCCGGUAGCUAAAUGCGGAAGAGAUAAGUGCUGAAAGCAUCUAAGCACGAAACUUGCCCCGAGAUGAGUUCUCCCUGACCCUUUAAGGGUCCUGAAGGAACGUUGAAGACGACGACGUUGAUAGGCCGGGUGUGUAAGCGCAGCGAUGCGUUGAGCUAACCGGUACUAAUGAACCGUGAGGCUUAACCUUACAACGCCGAAG
rnacentral:rRNA from 1 species